CUGCUGAGGUGAUGUCCACCUGGAGAAUUUUUUUUCUAAAAGAGAUGGGUGAGAAGAUUUCACCUUCUAAACUCAAUCAUAUGAACAAAGUUAUUGCAUAAAUUAGUAGUCUUGUGCCUGAAAUGGCAAAGGAAAGUAGAGAAUACUUUACAAUCUUUCAACAACCUCCUCAGCCCUGCUUACCAUAAGUUUAAUGCGAACCUUUUUGUCAAAACAAAUCAAACCAAUAAACAUUGAAUAUUAACCCUGUGACUAUAAUUAUAGUGAGCAUAAUCUCAUAUGAUGAACGAUUCAUUACAUAGAUUUAUGGUUUUGGGUAGUUCUAAUCUAAAACUUAAGAAUGAAGCUCUCUUGAUUAAGUGGUGGUGGAGGUUUGCAUCUGAGCCAAAUCCCCUUUGGAAAAGAGUGAUUUUUGAAAAGUAUAAUUGGUACAACAAGAGAUGGGAUAUUUCAUAAUUUCAUUGCUUAAAAGGAUAAUGCAUUUUUUUUUUCUUCUUUUUCUUCUGAACAUGCCCCCAUUAAUGUGCUACUGAAAUUGGGGAAAUGGAAUGAGAUUUCUCUUUUUGUUUGAUAAAUGGGUGUCUGAUGUAACAAAGAUGGUCUCAUUAAUGAUUUCAUAACAUGUGUACGUCACGUAGGAAGACUUUGUUUGUAUGUUACGAGGAGGAGGAAUGCCAUCAUAGGUUAUUGAAAAUGCUGCCACAGAUUGAUCAGCUUAAUGCCAAUCAAUGGAUAGAUUAAUUUGGAAGCGUGAUCCAUCAGGAGAUCUAGGAAAUUUGGGGUGAUUGUUUGUCUUGGUGGGUAAUGAAAUGGGUUGUUCCUUAUCGGUUAAUGCCUUGAUUUGUGGUUUGGAUUCAAAUUCAAGAAUGUCAAAAAGCUCUUAUGGGAGGCUAAACCCAUCCAUGGCAAUUUUUUGGACUAUCUGGAAAACCAGAAAUAAUAACCUUGUCUUUAAUAAUGGUGAAACUUCUUGGGAAAAUGUCUUGGAGUUAAUUAAAGAGAAAGUUGCAACUCGGCUAAAAGCACAUUGAAUUAUCCCUUGCUAUACAGUUGCUGAUUUAAUCUUAAAGAUGAAAGAAGUCAAAGACCUACACUUCCCUUUAAAAGUGGUGUAAAUGGUGAUUCAGCUUUGGAUGAUGAAAGGGACUGAUUCAACUUGGAAGAUGGAUGAGUUCAUAUGGCUGGAUUGCAUUCUUGGUCAUUGUUCUGCCUCAGUUUGGCUAGUGUAGGCAGUUGAGUCCUCAUUGUUUUUGUUUUUCAGCUUUGUUAUCCUAGUUGGUGUCAUGCUGUCUUUUUUUUUCUUUUUUUGGAGUGGAUCCUAACAUUAUGAAAAGUUGUCUAGUUGCUGCUACAAUCUUGGUCAUUGUUC